rnacentral:rRNA from 1 species
AUUGAACGCUGGCGGCAUGCCUUACACAUGCAAGUCGAACGGCAGCACGGGAGCAAUCCUGGCGGCGAGUGGCGAACGGGUGAGUAAUAUAUCGGAACGUGCCCAGUAGUGGGGGAUAACUGCCCGAAAGAGAAGCUAAUACCGCAUACGACCGGAGGAGGAAAGGGGGGUAUCGCAAGACCUCUCGCCAUUGGAGCGGCCGAUAUCAGAUUAGCUAGUUGGUGGGGUAAAGGCCUACCAAGGCAACGAUCUGUAGUUGGUCUGAGAGGACGACCAGCCACACUGGGACUGAGACACGGCCCAGACUCCUACGGGAGGCAGCAGUGGGGAAUUUUGGACAAUGGGCGCAAGCCUGAUCCAGCAAUGCCGCGUGCAGGAAGAAGGCCUUCGGGUUGUAAACUGCUUUUGUCAGGGAAGAAAUCCUCUAGGUUAAUACCCUUGGGGGGAUGACGGUACCUGAAGAAUAAGCACCGGCUAACUACGUGCCAGCAGCCGCGGUAACAC